UUCCAGGACACCGGAAACACACUCCAGGACAGAAACACAGGCAAACACAGACUCAGGAAGCGGGAUUCGUGACAAUUCCUCACUCCCUCUGACAACUCCACUGCAUUGCCUAAAAGUCAUAUGUAUAGCAAUACAUUAUUUACAAUUCCACUACACAAAAGAGUAUGGAGGGUAUUUGUAAAGCAAGACCAAAAGUUCAGUCCAAAAAUUGUAUAAACCUCAACUUACUCUGAUCUUGCAGCUUGUAGGGAGAGUGCCUCUAGGGUUCUGUUGGUCUUUGUAGGCUACCCCAGUAACUUUUCAUCUCCUGCACCAGGAUCCUCUCUUCCUCCUGCAGUCUGUUCACCAUCAUCAGUCUGUCGAAGAUCGCCUUUUUGAGAUGGCUGUUGCCUGUGAGAUGUAAACUCACAGAGGUAUAUAACAGAACAACAGCAAUGAUUGCAGCCUACGCUGAAGAUCUGCCUUCAGCAGCAACGUGCUCGUGGCCUAUGACCUCCUAACCCAGACAGGGCCCCAGCAGCAUGGAGGAGGGGGGACCCAGUGGCCAUGCUGGUCCCUGCAGCUCUAACAGCCCAGGUGGAGGAGGGGGAACCCAGUGGCCAUGCUGGUCCCUGCAGCUCUAACAGCCCAGGUGGAGGAGGGGGGACCCAGUGGCCAUGCUGGUCCCUGCAGCUCUAACAGCCCAGGUGGAGGAGGGGGGAAACAGUGUCCAUUCUGGUCCCUGCAGAUCUCAAAGCCCAGGUGGAGGAGGGGGACCCAGUGGCCAUGCAGGUCCCUGCAGCUCUAACAGCCCAGGUGGAGGAGGGGGGACCCAGUGGCCAUGCUGGUCCCUGCAGCUCUAACAGCCCAGGUGCAGGUGGAGGGGGACCCAGUGCCCAUGCUGGUCCCUGCAGCUCUAACAGCCCAGGUGGAGGUGGGAGGCUCAGUGGCCAUGCUGGUCCCUGCAGCUCUAACAACCCAGGUGCAGGUGGAGGGGGACCCAGUGCCCAUGCUGGUCCCUGCAGCUCUAACAGCCCAGGUGGAGGUGGGAGGCUCAGUGGCCAUGCUGGUCCCUGCAGCUCUAACAGCCCUGGUGGAGGAGGGGGGACCCAGUGGCCAUGCUGGUCCCUCCAGCGCUAACAGCCCAGGUGGAGGUGGGGGGCACCUCUAUACUCACACACACACCCUCUAGGUAGCAUAUACAAUUGAUCAUUCAUACUGUAUAAUAUACACUGCUGGUUUUUAAGUUCCCCGACUUCAGAAAUCAUUCAUUACCUUUGUGCUGUUGAGCAAGGCACCGAAGCUGACCCUGCUCCUCUCAAGUGCUGUGUUUGUGUGUUGUUUUGUCUGAGGGGUUUUGGAGCAGAGUAAAAUAUCAAUUUAUGUUGAUGGAAAUCCUGUUCUGCUCUAUUCUCUAUUCCUAUAGCGUCUCUGCAGCU